GGCAGAGGCAGGUGGAUCCCUGAGUUUGA
rnacentral:piRNA from 1 species